rnacentral:hammerhead_ribozyme from 1 species
AUCCAGCUGACGAGUCCCAAAUAAAGCGAGACGCGCGUCCUAGAU